rnacentral:rRNA from 1 species
AGAACGAACGCUGGCGGCAUGCCUAACACAUGCAAGUCGAACGAGACCUUCGGGUCUAGUGGCGCACGGGUGCGUAACGCGUGGGAAUCUGCCCUUGGGUUCGGGAUAACAGUUGGAAACGACUGCUAAUACCGGAUGAUGACUUCGGUCCAAAGAUUUAUCGCCCAGGGAUGAGCCCGCGUCGGAUUAGCUAGUUGGUGGGGUAAAGGCCUACCAAGGCAACGAUCCGUAGCUGGUCUGAGAGGAUGAUCAGCCACACUGGGACUGAGACACGGCCCAGACUCCUACGGGAGGCAGCAGUGGGGAAUAUUGGACAAUGGGCGAAAGCUGAUCCAGCAAUGCCGCGUGAGUGAUGAAGGCCUUAGGGUGUAAAGCUACCGUUUUACCGGGAUUGGAUAAUGACGAGUAACCGGAGAAUAACGCCCGCUAACUCCGUAGCCAGCCAGGCCGUAC